rnacentral:tRNA from 1 species
GCCUGGCUGGCUCAGAGGAGCAUGAGACUCUUGAUCUUGGGGUCAUGGGUUUGAGCCCCACGUUGGGUG